UACGAAGGGGGCUAGCGUUGUUCGGAAUUACUGGGCGUAAAGCGCACGUAGGCGGACAUUUAAGUCAGGGGUGAAAUCCCGGGGCUCAACCCCGGAACUGCCUUUGAUACUGGGUGUCUUGAGUGUGGUAGAGGUGAGUGGAAUUGCGAGUGUAGAGGUGAAAUUCGUAGAUAUUCGCAGGAACACCAGUGGCGAAGGCGGCUCACUGGUCCAUUACUGACGCUGAGGUGCGAAAGCGUGGGGGAGCAAACAGG
rnacentral:rRNA from 1 species